rnacentral:rRNA from 1 species
UACGUAGGCAGCAAGCGUUGUUCGGAGUUACUGGGCGUAAAGGGUGUGUAGGCGGUCCUCUAAGUUUGGUGUGAAAUCUCCCGGCUCAACUGGGAGGGUGCGCCGAAAACUGGGGGGCUAGAGUGCGGAAGGGGCAACUGGAAUUCUUGGUGUAGCGGUGAAAUGCGUAGAUAUCAAGAGGAACACCUGCGGCGAAGGCGGGUUGCUGGGCCGACACUGACGCUGAGGCGCGAAAGCCAGGGGAGCGAACGGG